rnacentral:rRNA from 1 species
UACGGGGGGAGCAAGCGUUGUUCGGAUUUACUGGGCGUAAAGGGCGCGUAGGCGGUCAGCACAAGUCAGUUGUGAAAUCUCCGGGCUUAACUCGGAAAGGUCAGCUGAUACUGUGCGACUAGAGUGCAGAAGGGGCAACUGGAAUUCUCGGUGUAGCGGUGAAAUGCGUAGAUAUCAAGAGGAACACCUGAGGUGAAGACGGGUUGCUGGGCUGACACUGACGCUGAGGCGCGAAAGCCAGGGGAGCAAACGGG